AAUUCUGUUCAUCUGGCUAGCACCCUCCAAAAUUUAAUUUGCAAGGCCGGAAUCAUCAACUCAAUGGUGGAAGCUUAAAUAUCUGGAUUUGGAGAUGUUACUCCCACCUAGCAGGUUCCAACUUAUUUGACGACUCAAUCUCUCUCAAGAUCUGGUCCUCUCAGUGCAAUUCUGUCCUUCUCCCUCUUGAAAAUCUACAAGCCAAUACUGAAAGUGCAAGUUCAUCACUGAAAUGGAAAAUGGACAACACUUGCUGAUUAAGGCUUGAACCAUCUUAUCAACGUACUAUUCUUCUCACUGUUGAAAAUCUACAAGCCAA